AUGGAUCUCAUUGGGAAUCGGGUCCUUGUGGACAUAAUUCAGGUGAGAGGACUCUCCUGGGUUGGGGCGGCCCUAAAUCCACCGAGAGUGAGGGAGACAUGGGGAGAGGAGGCCUGUGAAGCCGGCGGCAGAGACGGAGCACGUGGCCCCGAGCCCAGGAGCCGGGGCCACCAGGUGCAGGAAGGGGCCGGCCCAGAGCCUUUGCAGGGACCUGACCCCGAUGUCCAGCCUCCAGGGCUGAGGCUCAGCUGCCGCAUCCGAGAUGUCUCCUUGGAAGCUGACACAAGAGGCCUGGAGACCCCUGGGGAGUGCCGACUCCUGGGCCGCCCCGGGCGCUGUGGACUCAGAGUUCUGGGUGGGCAGCCUCGGCGGCCCCUCGCUGCCCCUCGGCAGCCUCUUCCUCCCUCCUGGACCAGGCAGGUGGACGGGCAGCAGCGCGGGGGACGGUCCUCAAAGCUGCCUGUGCAUCCAAGUUCGCGACCUGCUGCUCCCUGGGAUCCCACGGGGGACGUUCUGUCCGCCUACCCCCGACCUAAGACCUCCGUGAGCCAGACUCCAGCAUCCAGGGCUUGUCCAGAAGGUGCAGGCGGGCAGGCUCCAUCCGGCGAGGGCCAGACUUUUUCCACUUUCAGAGAGAUGUGGUCACUUCAACAUCCCGGUGCGUGACCGGCUUCUUUCCCUCAAGCACCGGUGGCGCUGUCCCAUCACGCGAGGUCCAUUUGGUCCUUUGGCAGCAGCUUCUGACAGGUGUGGCGUCUGGGUGUCGCGUGGGUGUACUGACCAGGCCAGUGGGUGGACACUGGGCCGCCAAGAGGGUGCCUGCACUUUUGCACCUUUGGGGUCACACCGUCGGAGUGGGGGCUGGGUCAGAGGUGGGGCACAGCUCACGGCAUGGAGGGUCUUCCUGGACAGCCCCCUCCCCACAAUGGGGGGGAGCUCACAGAGCGGAGGGGGGGCGGCUGGAGGCCCUGGAGGAAGGCCAGCAUUGGGCAGGUCCUGCUGGAAUCCAGCCCUGGUUUGAUGUUCCCUUUGACGGUCUGCCUAUAGGACACUUUGGUCUGCAGCAGCCAGUAGCCCAGCUUCCACUCCGGGGAAAGAGCGUCUCUCCGGCACCAUCAGGGGCAGCCUUGACCUGGCAGGUCAGGGAGGCCAGUGGGAGCCUGACGCAUCCACCCAAACGCACCCCCUGGCUGUGCACCCAUCUGUCGUCCCCCAGCCCGUCCUCUCCUCUCAGGGGGCGGGCACCACUCUGCACACUGACCCCCUUCCCUUGCUCACCCUUCAUCCAUCCUUCACGCUUUUUAUUUUAUUUUUUGUCUUUUGUUAUUUUCAGGGCUGCACCUGCAGCAUAUGGAGGUUCCCAGGCUAGGCGUUGAAUCAGAGCUGUAGCUGCCCGGCCACAGCCAUGCCAGAUCCAAUUCGCAUGUGCGACCUACGCCACAGCUCACGGCAAUGCCGGGUCCUGAACCCACGGAGCAAGGCCGGGGAUCGAACCCGCAACCUCAUGGUUCCUGGUUGGAUUCGCUUCCGCUGUGCCACGACGGGAACUCCCACUCUUUCCAUCCUCUCGCCCAGCCACCCACAUCAGUUAUUCGUGUGUAGCCAACAACCUCAACGCUUAGUGGCUUUGAAAAGUAAGGAACAGGCGCGGGGGAGCAAGCAAGAG
rnacentral:lncRNA from 1 species